ensembl:snoRNA SNORA66 Small nucleolar RNA SNORA66
GUGCAAACUCGAUCACUAGCUCUGCAUGAAGUUGCAGAAGCAAGGGGAACCAGGUUUGCUAAAGUAAUUGUGGUGAUAGAAAUAUAUUAGCCUCAGGAACUACUGGGGUGGCCCAUUCUAUCCUAAUACAGUG